rnacentral:rRNA from 1 species
ACGGCUCAGUAACACGUAGAUAAUUUGCCCUUAGGUGGAGGAUACCCUCGGGAAACUGAGAAUAAUACUCCAUAGAUCUAGACUGCUGGAAUGCUUUUAGAUCGAAAGAUUUAUCGCCUAAGGAUAAGUCUGCGGACUAUCAGGUUGUAGUUAGGGUAACUACCUGACUAGCCUACGACGGAUACGGGUAGUGAGAGCUUUAGCCCGGAGAUGAUAUCUGAGACACGAUAUCAGGCCCUACGGGGCGCAGCAGGCGCGAAAACUUCGCACUGUGCGAAAGCACGAUGAGGGAAUCCCAAGUGCUGGCUCGUAAGAGUCAGCUGUUUUUCUGUCUAGAAAACAGAGAGAGUAAGAGCUGGGUAAGACGGGUGCCAGCCGCCGCGGUAAUACCUGCAGCUCAAGUGGUGGCCGCUAUUAUUGGGCCUAAAACGCUCGUAGCCGGUCUAGUAAAUGCCUGGGUAAAUCAUACGGCUUAACCGUACGAAUUCCGGGUAGACUGCUGGACUUGGGACUGGGAGAGGCUAGAGGUACUCCUGGGGUAGAGGUGAAAUUCUGUAAUCCUAGGGGGACGACCAGUGGCGAAGGCGUCUAGCUAGAACAGGUCUGACGGUGAGGAACGAAGCCCUGGGGCGCAAACGGGAUUAGAUACCCCGGUAGUCCAGGGUGUAAACGCUGCUUGCUUGAUGUUAGUCGGGCUCCGAGCCCGAUUAGUGUCGGAGAGAAGUUGUUAAGCAAGCUGCCUGGGGAGUACGGCCGCAAGACUGAAACUUAAAGGAAUUGGUGGGGGAGCAC